rfam:Schistosoma rodhaini strain Burundi genome assembly, scaffold: SROB_scaffold0008570
GUACUGAAGAGGAGUCCCACAAUAGGACGAAACAACCGUCCAGUGC